AUAAAUGCACGAGAAAUGCACCAUUGAUAUCAUCUCCUCAUUUCAAACCGGGCAGAACAGUAUCCAUAACACAGCUGUAAAAUGAACGUCAAGUGCACAUUUGCGGUCGUAGCAGUGCUAUUAUUAGUCAACAACAUAGCAGCGAGCGGUGGAUAUGGCCCCGUGGGAAUAGGUGGUUUUAGAGGAAUUUUGUCGUCAGGAUAUGGUGAUCCCCGAUUUUGGAUGAAAUACGUCCCCAAACAGUACCAAGGAAUUGUACAGAGAUAUGCUACUGGUAACAUUGCCAGAUCUUUUGUGUCUCAAUGGCUCAAUCAGAAUAAAAAAUACUAAAAAUGUGUUGUAUGAAUUCAGUAUAAUCAUACCUAUUACUUUGUAUAAUAUAUUGUUUUCAAUAAAAGAAGACUUUUGUCGAUAUGAUAUUUGA